AAUUUCAGCUUUGGGUGCUGACGGUGGG
rnacentral:piRNA from 1 species